GAGUUUGAUCAUGGCUCAGAUUGAACGCUGGCGGCAUGCCUUACACAUGCAAGUCGAACGGCAGCAUGAUCUAGCUUGCUAGAUUGAUGGCGAGUGGCGAACGGGUGAGUAAUACAUCGGAACGUGCCCUGUAGUGGGGGAUAACUAGUCGAAAGAUUAGCUAAUACCGCAUACGACCUGAGGGUGAAAGUGGGGGACCGCAAGGCCUCAUGCUAUAGGAGCGGCCGAUGUCUGAUUAGCUAGUUGGUGGGGUAAAGGCCCACCAAGGCGACGAUCAGUAGCUGGUCUGAGAGGACGAUCAGCCACACUGGGACUGAGACACGGCCCAGACUCCUACGGGAGGCAGCAGUAGGGAAUUUUGGACAAUGGGCGAAAGCCUGAUCCAGCAAUGCCGCGUGUGUGAAGAAGGCCUGGUU
rnacentral:rRNA from 1 species